rnacentral:lncRNA from 12 species
GAGGGAACGGAACCGGGACAGGCCGGGACCGGACCGGGACAGUGGGAACGGGACCGGGGUCAGAACGCCCGUACCGGACCGGGACUGGGACCAGGAACGGGAACGGGAACGGGACCGGGAAAGGGAAGGGGAUAGUGGGAACGUACCGGGACAGCGGGACCGGGAACGGGACCGGGAACGGGAUCGGGACAGUGACAGUGGGAACGGGACCCGGGACGGGACAGUGGGAACGGGACCGGAGCUUCGGGGUGUGGAACAGGACAUCGGGACAUCGGGACCGGGAUUGAAACACCGGGAGUGAGAUCAGGACCGGUACCGGGAUACCGGGACCAAACCCGGAGCUGAUUGUGGGACAGCAGAACCGA